GCUUGCAGUAAACAGGGCACAGGUUCCAUCAUCUGUGGGAAAAGGCCAGCCAGCCCCCACCCUCCGGCCUUUCCCCGGGGAUAGUAAACACUGUCGACCUUGGCCGCAUCUCAGCUCUGCCUCUGGCCAGGAGAGUCACCCAAAGUGACCCUCUUCUGUUUCAUGGGACUGUAACACCCUCUCUGGGGGCCGAUGAGAUGGCCCUGCUCAGCAGAGACUCGGGGGCCCAGAGCGUCUGGAUGGACAAGGACACGCUCAGUCACCCAGACCAAGGAGGCGAGAGGACCAGCCCUAUGUUGCCCUCAGCGCUGAUCUUCAACACGGCCGGGCUGAGGCUGCAGGCAAAAGGGGACAAGAGGACACUACCGCAAAGUCAGCCUCGGAGACAGAGGGAGAUGGAAAGUUGAGAUACUCUUUCUUUCUCCCUGGGCAGACGCACAAUAGAUCUGCGUGGCAAAAUUAAAUUCUGAUCUGUCUGA